CUUCCAUUUCCUUCGCUGCUUCAGAUGUGGUUAGAACGUUUUUCCUUUAAUUUGAGGGAAUUAAAAAGUUGUGCUUAAAAAUAAUUAUGUAGCUGUAUACAGGCAAAUAUGCUACAUGCCUUUAGUUUAAAAGAUUUAAAUAGGAAUUGCGGAUGCAACCAACAUUUUCGGAUUCGACUCACAAAAGGUAGGCAAGCAGCGUUUUCGUUUGAUGUUGAACACGUGGUACCGGUCUCGAAAAAAAUGCAAUGGUGGCCUUAAAAACGGAACUUGUAAUAUCUAAAAAUAAUGAUAUGUUGGGUUCUCCUUUUUAUGAUGAAGAUAUGAAGAACAUAUUCGGCAGAUUGGAAGCCGGUUGAUGCAACAGAAAAUAAAGAUGAACCAUGAUGGGACAGUGAAUUUAGCUUUUUUAAACCCAGAGACCGCAACGCACGGCUCUUGGAUUUGUGUAUUUUAUGGCCAUCUUUUCCGAAUAAAAAGAUCUAUUUUACCUGGAAUAGAAAUAUACAAUAUGUGACCUAUUGGCAAGGAGUAUAAAUUAGAUAUAAACAUCCUGAAAUGGCGGCUUCGAUAGACAACCAUCUAUACCAGCGGUGGUUGAGCACUAUAACAAAAACCACCUUUAGUUAUGAGUAAAUUCUGCUGUAAAAUCGAUCAACGAUACGCACUAUGAGUAUUUUGAUUUUACAUAAAUCUACUUGUGCGUCUGGCUGGCGCCACUUACUAAAAUAUAACGGAAAGAGCCACCGCUUAUCUCUAAGCAAUGUGUAUUGUUUGUUGUAAAAUAAAAACUGCUCAUUUUCUUAAAAUAUA